rnacentral:rRNA from 1 species
CUUGAUACUCAGUAGCAAUAUUGAGUGUCAGGAGUGGCGCAAGGGUGCGUAACACGUGGAUCAUCUACCAAGAAGUUCUGAAUAAUCCCGAGAAAUCGGGACUAAUGCGGGAUGUGACCGAGAGGUUAAAGUUGGGGACCGCAAGGCCUGACGCUUUUUGAUGAGUCCGCGGCCUAUCAGCUAGUUGGCGGGGUAACGGCCCACCAAGGCUAAGACGGGUAGCUGGUCUGAGAGGACGACCAGCCUCACUGGAACUGAGACACGGUCCAGACACCUACGGGUGGCAGCAGUCGAGAAUUUUUCUCAAUGGGGGAAACCCUGAAGGAGCGACGCCGCGUGGGGGGAUGAAGGGCUUCGGCCCGUAAACCCCUGUCAUUUGCGAACAAACGUUAUGGUUGAACAUUCCAUGACUUGAUUGUAGCGAAAGAGGAAGGGACGGCUAACUCUGUGCCAGCAGCCGCGGUAAUACAGAGGUCCCAAGCGUUGUUCGGAUUCACUGGGCGUAAAGGGUGCGCAGGUGGGUUUGCAAGUUCGAUGUGAAAGCCCCGGGCUUAACCCGGGAAUGGCAUUGGAUACUGCAGAUCUGGAGGAUCGGAGGGGGGACUGGAAUUCUUGGUGUAGCAGUGAAAUGCGUAGAUAUCAAGAGGAACACCAGUGGCGAAGGCGAGUCCCUGGACGAUACCUGACACUGAGGCACGAAAGCUAGGGGAGCAAACAGGAUUAGAUACCCUGGUAGUCCUAGCUGUAAACGGUGCGCAUUUGCCGUAAACGGAAUCNACCCCGUUUGUGGCGAANCUAACGCGAUAAAUGC